CUAGGAUUAGAUACCCUAUUAUUGUAAGCUUAAUUUUGUUAGUAUAUAUAAUUUAUGAAAUCAAAAAGUUUUGGCGGUAUUUUAAGCUUUUUAGAGGAAUUUGCUCUGUAAUGGAUAAAACCCCUUAAUCUUACUUAAUCUAGUUAAGUUCAGUUUGUAUACCACUAUAAUUAAUUAUAUUGAAUAAUUAAUUAUUAUAAUUUUUUAUAAAAAAGAAAAUUAAGUCAAGGUGCAGCUUAAGAUUAUGAAUGAAGUGAAUUACAUUGAUUUUUAUAUAAAAAAUAUGUUGAAAAACAAAAAAAAUAGGAUUUAAAAGUAAAUAAAAAAUAUAAUGUUUUGUUGAAUUAAGCUCUAAAAUAUGCACACAUCGCCCGUCGCUCU
rnacentral:rRNA from 1 species